AGUUCACAGUAAGCACCAUGAUUGACAACCAUGUGGAUUCAAGGACAGAAUAGAUCCCCUGUUCCCUUAUCUUGCCUUGCAUGUGGAUUCAAGGACAGAAUAGGUCCCCUGUUCCCCUAUCUUGCCUUGCAUGUGGAUUCAAGGGCAGAAUAGAUCCCCUGUUCCCCUAUCUUGCCUUGCAUGUGGAUUCAAGGGCAGAAUAGAUCCCCUGUUCCCUUAUCUUGCCUUGCAUGUGGAUUCAAGGACAGAAUAGGUCCCCAGUUCACAGUAACCACCAUACUUGACAACCAUGUACACAUGCUAGAACCCCAUGUGGAUUCAAGGGCAGAAUAGGUCCCCUGUUCCCUUAUCUUGCCUUGCAUGUGGAUUCAAGGACAGAAUAGGUCCCCACUACACAGUAACCACCAUGAUUGACAACCAUGUGGAUUCAAGGACAGAAUAGAUCCCCUGUUCCCUUAUCUUGCCUUGCAUGUGGAUUCAAGGACAGAAUAGGUCCCCUGUUCCCUUAUCUUGCCUUGCAUGUGGAUUCAAGGACAGAAUAGGUCCCCACUACACAGUAACCACCAUGAUUGACAACCAUGUGGAUUCAAGGGCAGAAUAAGCCCCCAGUCAGUGAACCAUGCUUAUCCUACAAGCUGAGGAUUGGGUCAUUACUAGGGUCAUGUGUAACCCUGCUGACAGCUGUCCUGUUAUCCCGGCUGUGUGGAGUAUUUGCUUUCAGAAGGAUUUCCAUCUCCAUUCACUCACUCACUCACUCACUCACUCACUCACUCACUGGUUUAUUGACUGAUUGCAACCUGUACCACAAUAAUUCAAUACUGACCCCUGCUGUUAUCAUAAAAUGUCAUAUCCAAUGUUUGUUUGCAUCCAUGAGCGUCUUUGAAUUGCAUUGAAUUGAGUUGUUAUGAUGUUUAAAAGUGAUGAUAAUCCAAAGCGUUGAUGCAGUCAGUAAAAACAGUGAAUGGGAAUAACACCUUUAAAUGCAAUAUUCCUUGAUCAAGGAUGGAGUUAUCGAAAAAUAUUUUGAUUGUAAUCAUGUUUCUUAACUUUAAUAAGCCAGUUGUGAGCUCUGUGGCUACGUUAAUACCAGGAUGGCCACAUUCCACAGUGGAGGGGAGUCAGUUUGUCUGUUAUGCCAGACCCACCAAUCCCAGCUGAAAUAGGAAGUUGCGUAUGCUUGUCCUAAGAGGUGACUAAACGAUUGUGGUCAGGUAUGGAGGCUUUGUUGAGUAUGUCAUCAGGGUCAUCAACAACAUGGGAUGUUGCUGAUUUGAAUGGCGUCUUCGUCUGGUCAAGUCUUGAUUAUUCCGAUUCCACCAUGUUGCUGCGAGUACUGAAUACAGGUAUUCCUAUACUUAGCGGAUCACAUUGGCCAAACAGGCUUACCGUAUUGAUGUAUCUAGCUUCUUGCUCCUGUGAGCAAUAAGUUCGUUUUCAUGGCUAUAGGGAACUAGGCAAGCCCACCCAGUGGUUAGAAUUCACAAUGCAGACUUGCAUCUGUUGCAGUGUGCCAUGAACCGUCACAAACCAGGAACUAGAGGCGAUGAAUUCACAAUGCAAGCUUGCAUCUCUUGCAGUGUGCCAUGAACCGUCACAAACCAGGAACUAGAGGCGAUGAAUUCACAAUGCAGACUUGCAUCUCUUGCAGUGUGCCAUGAACCGUCACAAACCAGGAACUAGAGGCGAUGAAUUCACAAUGCAGACUUGCAUCUGUUGCAGUGUGCCAUGAACCGUCACAAACCAGGAACUAGAGGCGAUGAAUUCACAAUGCAGACUUGCAUCUGUUGCAGUGUGCCAUGAACCGUCACAAACCAGGAACUAGAGGCGAUGAAUUCACAAUGCAGACUUGCAUCUCUUGCCGUGUGCCAUGAACCAUCACAAACCAGGAACUAGAGGCGAUGAAUUCACAAUACAGACUUGCAUCUCUUGCAGUGUGCCAUGAACCGUCACAAACCAGGAACUAGAGGCGAUGAAUUCACAAUGCAGACUUGCAUCUCUUGCAGUGUGCCAUGAACCGUCACAAACCAGCAGUUUGAGGCGGUGAAUUCACAAUGCAGACUUACAUCUCUUGCAGUGUGCCAUGAACCGUCACAAACCAGGAACUAGAGGCGAUGAAUUCACAAUGCAGACUUGCAUCUCUUGCAGUGUGCCAUGAACUGUCACAAACCAGCAGUUUGAGGCGAUGAAUUCACAAUGCAGACUUGCAUCUCUUGCAGUGUGCCAUGAACCGUCACAAACCAGGAACUAGAGGCGAUGAAUUCACAAUGCAGACUUGCAUCUCUUGCAGUGUGCCAUGAACUGUCACAAACCAGGAACUAGAGGCGAUGAAUUCACAAUGCAGACUUGCAUCUCUUGCAGUGUGCCAUGAACUGUUCGCUGGAGACCAAGGUGCGACCCAGUCAUGACUGUAGGUCUACCAGCUGUCAUUGCUAGUGUAUCACAGAAGUAGAGUGGAUACAUCUGGGUGCUCAGCUAUAGUGUCUGGUUUCUCUGACCUAGAUUUGAUAACUAACGGUACCUUUGUACAGCUGAAAUACCGGCACUGCUUCAGUGUCAGUCACAAGUCUAUAUCCUUAACCACUAUCCAAGGCCUAGUGAGAUUUCUGUAUGGCAUGUACACUUACUUAUUAAAACCUCAAAUCUUUUACAAAAUCCUUCAGGCUGGAACUGUUGUAACAUUUGACCGACCAGAACUUACAUUGACAGUCAAUAACUUCUACUGAACAAAUGUUAUGUGUUAUUUCAUGAACACAAGUAAGGGACGUUGAUCUUGAUUACAUUCAAAUGUUUGUGAACCACAAUUUCAUGGAUUCCGAGUAUUCAGGUGAUAAGCAAAGUCCCGAAAACAUCACUCAUCAACAUUGUAAAGACAAAGUGUUAUAGGUUAGUUUCCGUAGCACUCUUUCUGGACAUAAACAGCUGAGGCGUCACUAUGGUAUGCUAUGACAUCACGACCUACGCCAUUUGCUUCCCUGGCAAUUGAAUCAGCCACAAAGCACAUCCAUGUGAGUAGAAAGCUAUGAAAAAAUUAUCCUUUCUCCUAAAUAGUAAUCAAAUGCAGUAUUUACUAUAGUCAUGUCGCAAUACUAAAUGCCAUUUGUUGUUUUUUAAAUUUGGUACAUGACUUAUCAAGAAUUGUAUUCAAAAACAGUGAAAAGUCUGCUAAUAUGAUUGUGGCAUACUCCAGUCAUCUUACAAUUGCAGGUGAUCAAGUGCAUGUGUUUAGUUCAGGCACCCUGUCAUUGUACAUUAUACAGGUACAGCAUCGUAGGCUGCUUGGAGAAGUUUUAAUUCCUUAAUCCUCGUGAAGUCACUUGGGAUCCUAAAUUCCUUUGUUAGUAACUGGCGAUAUCAGUGUGAAAUUGGGAUGCCGAUUUGAUGUGAAUCUAUGAGAAAUAUUUCUAUUUUUCCUAUCUAUUUAUUACUAUGUGUAAUAUGUUAUUGCUAGGAAUAACUGACGUUUCCCGUGAGAAUGAACCUCCAAGAAUAUGUUGUUGUGUAAUAACUGUGUGAAUUGUGGGGGCUAACCCACGUUAUGUACAUAUGCUUUUUUUAAAAGCAGAAAAAAAUAAAAAGUGUAUAAUAUGUCA